rnacentral:misc_RNA from 1 species
GAUGAAGAACGUAGCGAAAUGCGAUAAGUAAUGUGAAUUGCAGAAUUCAGUGAAUCAUCGAAUCUUUGAACGCACCUUGCGCCUUUUGGUAUUCCGAAAGGCACACCUGAUUGAGCGUCAUGAAUACCUCAAUCUCCAUCUUUUCUUCGGAUUGAUGGGUGACUUGGAUGUUGAGCCCUGCUGGUAUGCUAUAUCAGCUGGCUUUAAACUUAUUAGCCGGCUCUGUACUGGAUCGGUUUGACUCGACGUGAUAAUAUUAUCGUUGAGGAUGCAUGUCUCAUGCAGCCGGAAAGUAUCAAAGCAGCUUCUAGCUUGCCUUUAGUGCACUUUUACAUUUUAGACCUCAGAUCAGGUGGGACUACCCGCUGAACUUAAGCAUAUCAAUAAGCGGAGGA